UACGGAGGGUGCAAGCGUUGUUCGGAUUCACUGGGCGUAAAGGGUGCGUAGGUGGCCAGGUAAGUUUGGUGUGAAAGCUCGGAGCUUAACUCCGAAAAGUCAUUGAAUACUAUCUGGCUGGAGGGUCGGAGGGGAGACUGGAAUUCUCGGUGUAGCAGUGAAAUGCGUAGAUAUCGAGAGGAACACCAGUGGCGAAGGCGAGUCUCUGGACGACUCCUGACACUGAGGCACGAAGGCCAGGGGAGCAAACAGG
rnacentral:rRNA from 1 species